GUUUUGAGGUGCAGGACUGCAAUGCGCGCACUUCCGGACCCCAGGCUGUUCCCACGGCGACUGACACCUCAGACAGCGUUGGAGGGGCGGCGCCCUGGCUCCGGGGCUGUGCCGAGCGCGAGCGUGGCCGGCACCCACUUGCUGCAGAGCCGGCACUGCACUGGGGUCCUGGGGGCGGCUCCUCCAGAUGUCUCCGCGGGUUUUCGGGUGCUGCCGAGUUGGGCUGGGGGACGCUACAGGUAGUGGGUCCCGGGCAGCGGCUGGCCCCUUAUCUCACUGCCCCUCCCCGCAGCUCUGCCUCCUCGGACCCCACCGUCCUCUGGAAGCUCGCGAAGGGUACCUGCCGCUGUGACCACCUAGACGCAGACUGGAGAAGGAGGCGGUUGCACCAGUUCCGUGCAGACUGUUCUUUUCCAGCCCUUGGUGAAGAAAGUGGGUUGUUUUUUCCGUUUCCAUCUCUGGCUAGUCUUGAAGGCUAGACCUGCGUAGGACAGCAGAGACGAGGACAUGAACCAGUUCUGCUGAGCUGUUACUGUAUGCCUGCUUUCCCACAACAGCAAGGAACAACCAUGGCCCAGCAGAUAUUAUGCCAAAGCAGCCGUCUGUGAUUCUGGUUGUUUGGGGAUGCAGAACACUCAGGUCUCCAGAGACAGCCUUGUGCCACACCAAGUGACCUGGAUGUAACACUGCAUUAUCUAGAGGAACGAAUGAAUGAACUGCAUGUUCUUGAAACGGCCUCCCAUGUCUACUGCCACCCCACCGUGAACGUGCCUGAUCUCAUCUGAAAUUGCUUGCCAUGAUGGUUUUUAUUUUUUUAAUUAAAAAAAAUUUUUUUGAGAUGGAGUCUUGCUCUGUCGCCCAGGCUGGAGUGCAGUGGCACAAUCUUGGUUCGCUGCAAUCUCUACCUCCCAGGUUCAAGUGAUUGUCCUGCCUCAGCCUCCCGAGUAGCUAGGAAUGUAGGCAUGUGCCACCAUGCCUGACUAAUUUUUGUAUUUUUAGAGAUGGAGUUUCAUCAUAUUAGCCAAGCUGGUCUCGAACUCCUGACCUCAGGUGAUCUGCCCACUUGGCUGUUGGCUCUCUUUGCAUGUGAGUGACAUCAGUGUUUUCCAUCAGCCUGGAAGCAUUCUCCUUCUUCCACUCUUCACCCCGGGUUCUAGGAAUGUGGGUCACUGUCAUUCGGGGACGUGGCUGUGGGCUUCACCCGGAAAGAGUGGCAGCAGCUGGACCUGGAGCAGAGGACCCUGUACCGGGAUGUGAUGCUGGAGAACUACAGCCAUCUGCUCUCUGUGG